rnacentral:rRNA from 1 species
CAGCCGCCGCGGUAAUACCGGCAGCACGAGUGAUGGCCGAUAUUAUUGGGCCUAAAGCGUCCGUAGCUUGCUGUGUAAGUCCAUUGGGAAAUCGACGCGCUCAACGCGUCGGCGUCCGGUGGAAACUACACAGCUUGGGGCCGAGAGACUUGACGGGUACGUCCGGGGUAGGAGUGAAAUCCCGUAAUCCUGGACGGACCACCAAUGGGGAAACCACGUCAAGAGACCGGACCCGACAGUGAGGGACGAAAGCCAGGGUCUCGAACCGGAUUAGAUACCCGGGUAGUCCUGGCUGUAAACAAUGCUCGCUAGGUAUGUCACGCGCCAUGAGCACGUGAUGUGCCGCAGUGAAGACGAUAAGCGAGCCGCCUGGGAAGUACGUCCGCAAGGAUGAAACUUAAAGGAAUUGGCGGG